rnacentral:tRNA from 1 species
GGGAAUGUGGCUUAGUGGUAGAGUGCUUGCCUUGCAUGCAUGAGGCCCUGGGUUUGAUUCCUCAGCACCA